AAGCGAGGCGUCCAAAUGGAAGGAUCAGGAAGCGGAAAAUACGAAGGAGACGGAUCGAACCGAGGGCGCGGCACCCGAUUCGGAAGACAAAAGCUUAGAAACGGAGAGUCAGAACUUCUUCCCCUCGUUCGCCGACUUGUUCGCCAAUCACAGGAGUUCGUUCGCCGAGCAGCAAAGGCCAUCAUGUACGAGGGACAAGAUAAAAAUCCUGAAAUGUGUAGGGUCCUUCUUACUCACGAAGUGAUGUGCAGCCGGUGUUGCGACAAAAAGAGCUGCGGAAACAGGAACGAGACCCCGAGCGAUCCUGUUAUCAUCGACCGAUUCUUCCUCAAAUUCUUCCUAAAGUGCAACCAGAACUGCCUUAAGAAUGCGGGCAAUCCACGUGACAUGAGACGUUUCCAGGUGGUCAUUUCCACGCAAGUAGGAGUAGAGGGACCGCUACUGGCCGUCUCGGACAACAUGUUCGUUCACAACAACAGCAAACACGGACGUAGAACGAAACGAUUGGAUCCCAGUGAUCCUGGAGAAUACAACAGUCUUUAUACACCAGUACCUCUUCAAACACCGUGUAUAAAAGCGAUAUCGCCGAACGAAGGGUGGACAUCUGGUGGAUCGACAGUGAUAAUCAUUGGGGAGAAUUUUUUCGAUGGGCUUCAAGUUGUUUUUGGAUCGAUGUUGGUUUGGAGCGAGCUAAUUACACCAAAUGCGAUCAGAGUACAAACUCCUCCUCGACAGAUACCAGGCGUCGUUGAAGUCACGUUAUCCUAUAAAACUAAACAAUUCUGUAAAGGUGCACCUGGUAGAUUCGUCUACGUUUCAUUGAACGAACCCACGAUCGAUUACGGCUUCCAAAGGUUACAGAAGCUUAUUCCCCGGCAUCCUGGAGAUCCUGAAAAAUUACCAAAAGAGAUCAUAUUGAAAAGGGCGGCUGACCUCGCGGAAGCUUUAUACAGUAUGCCCAGAAGCGGAAACGCUGGAAUUACGGGAGCACCGAGAAGUCCGGGAUCGGGUCAUCCGCCUGCACCUCCAACCUCUAGUUCGGCAACAGCGUUUAACUCGUAUACAGGACAGCUCGCGGUGACGGUACAGGAAAAUGGUAGCGCGGCGAAAUGGACAGACGACGGUAGUUCCGUGACGACAGGAGCCGGUGCUGGAGGCGGAGGCGGCGGCGGUGGUAGCGUCGGAGGGAGCGUGGGUGGUAGCGCCGAUGCCUACAGGCAAAGCAGCAGCGCGAGUCCACGCGGGGUUGUGACCGGCGGUGGUUAUUGCGGAAGUUCGGCCAGCACGCCUCACAGUCACAGCACAAACGGAAGUUACUCGGUAGCCAAUCCGUACACCGGUAGUCCAACCCUUUACACAUCGCCGCACGAACAGUAUGGCAUUUUCUAUACGUCCGGGGACGGGAGUGCGUUCGCUCCCGUAGUACGACCACCGACCACCUCAGUCCCACCGCACUGGUCCACACAGCACCACCUCGCCACAGCCGCCCAGUAACCGCUAACCGUCCACCAUCACAACCACCAUCAUCACCACCACAACCACCCUAUGCACCACGAUUAAAGAAUUAUGAGAAACAUGCACGAGAGACGAGAGAUUCGAGGAUUUGGUAUGUUGCAGGACUAGGAGAGGUGGUCGGUUCACCGUUCAACGUGAAUCCAUUUAUGUUGCCGACCUGCAGCCAAGGAUAUUCAAACGCCGCCAGUCCGUUGCUCUCGUCGAAUGGGAAAUAGUGUUACGAGAUGUAAGCUCCGGCGAAAAUAUCGAGGGGUUACGUGUUCACGGAAGCGAAAUCCAUCGACGCGGAGGCUUUCGUCGAAUUCUAAUAUUCCG
rnacentral:misc_RNA from 1 species